AUUGAACGCUGGCGGCAGGCGUAACACAUGCAAGUCGAACGAGUGGCGGACUGGUGCGUAAUGCUUGAGAAUCUAGCUUAUGGCGGGGGAUAACUACGGGCAACUGUUGCUAAUACCGCGUACAAUAGGAUGAGCCCCAGUGGGAUUAGGUAGUUGGUGAGGUAAAGGAUCACCAGGCCGACGAUCUCUAGCUGGUCUGAGAGGAUGACCCGCCACACUGGGACUGAGACACGGCCCAGACUCCGACGGGAGGAAGCAGUGGGGAAUAUGGCGCAAUGUGAGCAAGCUGACCCAGCCAUGCCGCGUGAGUGAAGAAGGCCUUCGGGUUGUAAAGUUCUUGAGGUAGGGAUGCGUUCACUACAGAACGAGAACCGGCGAACUCCGUGCCAGCAGGCGCGGUAAUUC
rnacentral:rRNA from 1 species